rnacentral:snRNA from 1 species
GUGGUUGCCACAGAGCCGAAGCAC